rnacentral:rRNA from 1 species
GACGAACGCUGGCGGCGUGCUUAACACAUGCAAGUCGAACGGAAAGGCCCUGCUUUUGUGGGGUGCUCGAGUGGCGAACGGGUGAGUAACACGUGAGUAACCUGCCCUUGACUUUGGGAUAACUUCAGGAAACUGGGGCUAAUACCGGAUAGGAGCUCCUGCUGCAUGGUGGGGGUUGGAAAGUUUCGGCGGUUGGGGAUGGACUCGCGGCUUAUCAGCUUGUUGGUGGGGUAGUGGCUUACCAAGGCUUUGACGGGUAGCCGGCCUGAGAGGGUGACCGGCCACAUUGGGACUGAGAUACGGCCCAGACUCCUACGGGAGGCAGAAGUGGGGAAGAUUGCACAAUGGGCGGAAGCCUGAUGCAGCAACGCCGCGUGCGGGAUGACGGCCUUCGGGUUGUAAACCGCUUUCGCCUGUGACGAAGCGUGAGUGACGGUAAUGGGUAAAGAAGCACCGGCUAACUACGUG